GUUAUUUUGGCAGAAUAGUGCGUUAGAUUUAGAAUCUAUUUAUGUAGUUUUAUUUACAGAUAAUA
rnacentral:tRNA from 1 species